UACAGAGGGUGCGAGCGUUUAAUCGGAAUUACUGGGCGUAAAGGGCGCGUAGGCGGUAGAUUAAGUCAGAUGUGAAAUUCCCGGGCUUAACCUGGGGGGCUGCAUUUGAUACGUGUUGUCUUUGAGUUCGGAAGAGGGUCGUGGAAUUCCCAGUGUAGAGGUGAAAUUCGUAGAUAUUGGGAAGAACACCGGUGGCGAAGGCGGCGACCUGGUCCGACACUGACGCUGAGGCGCGAAAGCGUGGGGAGCAAACAGG
rnacentral:rRNA from 1 species